rnacentral:lncRNA from 1 species
UCUUUAAAUCAUUCCCUCUCUCUUUAAAGCUCUUUUGUGGAUGGAAGAAUGGAAAUGGAAGUAAUGAGGAAAUGGUGCAGUGGGAAUCCCUAUUUAUAGAAAAUGGGGACUGUUAGAUUUGUGUCAAGUGGUGAAAUAUGGUGAAGAGAGAUAAAGUAAAUGGGAAAGGUAAGAUGUGACAACCGACUGAUGUGACCAACAGAUGUGAUCGAUGGAUGGAUGAUGCGAUGUGACGGCAAAGCAAAAAUUAGAGGCAUGCCACCCAAAUGACAGUGACAUGUCACCCAAGCGACGGCUUGUACACCACCCAAGCCGGUGGCGGCGCGCCGUCCACAGGUGUGCACGGUGCCCAACGGUGCGGCGCGCCCUGUCGGAGGCAGUGCACGUCGUCCCAGCAUGUCGCACUCGCAGGCUUACUAUGUCUAGGCUUACUGCACCGACGAGCGCACACUAUGCACGUCCCGCGCUGGCUGCAUACACGCGUGAGCAGGAUCUCUCUCGC